rnacentral:siRNA from 1 species
ACUUAACUUGGAUACUGUGAAUGA